rnacentral:sRNA from 1 species
GCUGGGUGUGGUGGUGCCCAUUGGUGGUCCCAGCUACUUGGGAGGCUGAAGCAGGAGGAUCAUUUGAACCCAGGAAUUCCAGACGGGCCUGGGCAACAUAGUGAGACCCCAUCUU